CAUGAUGGUAAUUAGCAAAGUUCAUCAUGAAUUUGCUCUUGUUCGUAAUAUAUGUAUUUCUCAAUGUGCAGUGCUGGAACUGGAAUAACACUGUGAUCUGAAUUUUUUUUGACGAUCAGAUUUUUAUAUAACAGAGUACCAAUAUUUGUAGGCACGAAAUAAAUACCACUAAAUUAAUUACAAAAAUGCAUCCUCGUGCUAAGCUUAAGCUUAGUUGGAGAAAUAAAUGUUACCCUCAGAAUAGCGAAUGUAUUCUGCCAGCAGAGCAGGGCGUCGGUGGGUACUUUUGACGCAGCAGCUCGGCAGCAGCACCGACACUUAGUUCGAUACACCUCCCAUCGUUCCACUCCAUGACCAUGUAGGCAGGGAUGGAGUGAGCAUAUGCCGGCACAUGACAGGCAUGGGGAAUAGUUUUUUUUUUUUGAUCCAACGCAGUUGCAGGCAACGAUGCGCCUAAAAUCUGCCAAACCAGGCGACGACACAGCAGCCAGUCUCGGUUUCAGCAGGGCGCACCGCGCACGGCAUCAUCAUCAUCGUCGCCGUCCGUUUCGUUGCGUCGUGCUCCUGCAGUCCUGCUGUUGGGUUGCCGGUGGUACAUUCUUUGACUUCCACAUGGGCUGGGUCGUCCUGGCACCCUGCGCACCACACGGACUCACCAAGCCGGGGGAAAUUCAAGGAAUCAGGACAAGAGCUGUCAGUAUCAGCUGCUGUACAGCGGUACGGCUCGUGCUUCUCUUGGAAUGUUAGGCGGCAAGGUUAGGCAUCGUCUGCACAGACAGACAGGGAAGGUGCCCGCGAGGUGCUCGGCCAAAUGCGCCAAGACCGUUGUCUACGGCGGCGCGCUGGGGGGGGGGCUCGGCUCAGAGGUGUAAUUAUAGAGACACAUGCAUGCUAGAACCCUUUCGUCAAGCUCAUUUCCUGGAUGAAGGUGACUUGCUAUGUCAUGCAACAAGAUCUCACAAGCAGAAUAUCUUAUGGCAUUUUCACCAAGGGCAGCCAGCUCGCUUCCGAGCCAUGCAGUGCAUAAGAGGCAAUUCUGUGAGGUUCCCUUCACUUUGCUUUGCAUUCCUUUGGCUAAAGCGCUGAUAAACGGUACUCCUAUUUUAAUAAUCGCUCGUGCAGAUUUAUUGCUCCAUGUGCUUAUUUCUGUAUCCUGUAUCACCAUUAUUAUUGUUAUUAUGUUCCUUGCCAUUAAGUUAUGUUUUUUUUUCUAUAUUUUCCAAAUGAAAAAAUGUUUUGAUACUUAACCUGCAGGCAAGAAUCAAGCCAGUCGAUGUUCCUGAUUGUAUUUCUUUGUGAUGUUGAUGUGAGACCAGCUUUCUUUGUGAGCCAUGCUGCAGUGUACGAUUCUCCUGACCAGGAAUAAGUCCCUCCGAGGUUUGAAAGAAAACAUGCUGAUAAUGCCUGUACUCUACUGUUUUCUUGAGAUGAUAGAGAGUCCAACAGGACUUCCAUCGCUUCAUCUUGGAACACACUCCUGCCAUCUGAUCUCUCCUGCCAAAAGGAAUAAUAUGGAACCUGCUGCUUCAGAUAUUGUGAGGUUACUUGUAAUGGUAAUAAUAGUAACAACGAGGAUGUUGUGUUUUUGAAGAAUUGGUGAAACCAUGAAAAACAAUUUUUUUUUGCUUUUCUGUUUUCAAUUUUGCUUGUGCUUUGUAUGGUAAAUACUUAUUCAGACUAGGGGUAUCUGUGUAGCAAACUGUCUAUGUACCAUCAUAUCCAAUUGCAGGAGAAGGCUAGCUCCUAAAACCCGAUGUUCAGGUCCAGUUUGAUGGAGGCUGACCAUCAGUGUGUGCAUAAUUGCAAUGCCACCUUGCCGUCUUAUUUCUUCAAGCAGAGAGUUUGCUGAGGACCUGGAAGUUUGCACAAUUCAAUAAGUUAUCCAGGCAAGUACAUAACGGAAUAAUUCUUUACAUGCUGUUACCUGGGAAUCUGUAGAAUCUCAUGGAAGUAUUCAAGUGCAGCACACUUGGCCCGGUGCUCUUUUCGUCUCAGAAGGUGAAGGAAUGGGUCCACUGGAGUAGCCUGUGACAAGAACUUCUUGCAGUUACCAUUGAGACGUACACAUCUGAUGAGAAUAGCUGCCAGGGCCACACCUUCCUCCAAGUUGUGGUUCUUUGCAACAUCCACAAGCUUGGACAAAAUAGGAGGGGAGCUGAGGGAAGCCAAGUGGACAUUGUUUGUUACAUAGUCGAAUGCUGUCACUAAGAUCUCGAUGAGAGCUAUUGAUGCUGAUGUCGGUGUCAGUGGAAGCAUUGAAGGCCAUUUUUGGGUGCCUGAGCUACAAGCAACAUGUAGAAGCGAGGGCAACAGAUCCAAGUUUUUGAUCUCUAAAGGUGUAGGAUCUAACAGAUAUAUCAGAAUGGCUGCUUCAUGUACAUCUCUCUUCAAUGCAACGGCUAAGUUGGAUAAAUGGAAGUCCUUCCUCUUGAUGCCUCUCAUGACAUUUCUAUCUUCAGAUAUCAUGAGCAGUAGUACAUAGACUGAUGCCCUGACCACUUUGUCCUUUUUUGAUGUGGAAAUGCUGUCAAGCAGCCGAUCAAGGAUAUCUUGCCUUACUGACGACAUGUGUCUCGCCUCACAAGUGUUGUUCAGUAAUUGCCAUAUAGUUGUGACCUCAGAGCCAGCAUCUAGGCAGCUUUCUAGUCCAUCUGAAAUCAGCAGUUUUGAUACUGCCUUCUCGAACCUCUCAAGAAAAUCUACCUGGCUGUCCUUCGCCCAGCGCGAGCUGACAUCACUCCAAUCAUCACUGGCUGUGGAAGUCUUGAAUUUCCUGCUCAUGCUUCCUCUGGAGACUAGAUCGGACAGGGAACUUUUCUUGAUGAAUUUGGCCGAGAAGGCAUUGAAGCAUCUGAGAUCAUGCCUCGGUGAGCACUGCGUAAACAUGGCAUCCUUGGCGGAAUAGUUGGAUGUGGAGUAUGAGUCAGCAUUCUUCAGCUCCAGGACCGAAUUUGAUAGAUUAUUCAGUGAUCCAUGAGAUCUGUUUGAUUGCAAGCAGUUUGGUUUCGUCUCACGGUCAUCGACCUGGUACAUUGAGGAUUCUGGAGCAUAUAUCAUUGCAUUUUCAGGAGAUGUGCACCACGUCAGAUUCUUGUUGUGGUUUGAUCUAACCAAAGGUGGUACCAAAACAAAGAAAUUUGAGGUUAGGCAGCUCAGGAAAUAGUAUCACAGACAAUGUCGUGCUAGGCACGUUCACGGAAAAAAAAGGUGCCACAGACAAUGUCAAAUGGAGUACCUUUCAUGGAGUUUAGCUGCUAAGAAAUCUGCAUCUAUGGGCAUGAUCUUUGCUGACCUUCCUUUGUCAUAUGGAGCUGCCUGCUUCAGACGAAUAAAAUGUCAUUUAAAUCUAAAGGGUUAAAGCCCAGAUCAAAGUUCAGGCAACUACUUCGGCAUGUAUCUCCAAUCAUUCAGAUGUUCAACUUUGGUGACGAUAAUUCACAAGGAUGAAUGGUGUAAAACUGUACUGCUGAUAAAUGUGGUACUAGAAAAGGUGAAGUAAAGUUCGUCUACUGAAAAUGAAUCAAGAUGCGAGUAAAAGGAAACAGGCGAAUCAGACUGCGACUCCUCGAGCAUCUCAUGGAGGCACCUGCUGUCAGAGCUCCCCUUGGUAUCUUCCUGGAAAUCUUGAUCUGCGAUGCUGAGGAAAUCCUUCAGCUCGGUGAAACCGUCAUGGGCACCAAAUUCUGAUGCAGAGACCGUGGUAAUUCCUUCAGGAUCAACCGAAUGGUUCGUUCUAUCCUGCAACGAUGCCAGAUUCACCUUCAGUUCUCAAAUGGAGGCCAGAUCAACUCUUGUAUGCACAUACAACAACGUGUGAAGACAAUGUAUACAUCAUAUGGCACUUACCUCCGAAGAACUCAACCAUCUCGAAAUGACAGAGCUUCCAGAUCUUCCUGCCUGAAGAUACCUGCUCAUGGAAGUAUAUAUCUUCAGAGUUCUUAGAGUCACACAACUGUGUGCCUUUCUUUUCUAUAUGCCUACAGAUAGUAGCAGCAACUAGCAAGCACUACUAUAGACAGGGUGUAUUGAGUACUGACAAUGUAGCAACUACACUGACAGCAUGAUUUCACCUAUUGGCUAUUUAAACUAUAUACAUAGCAGUAGGCAAUGCAGCAGGACUGAAGAUGAUCUCUCUAGAUGGUGCUAUCAUUCUGCAGGCAGGCAGGCAUCUGCAGUGGACCAGGAUGGUUUAGUGUACAUGCUUGUCUCAAGCCGGAAGUGGAGAAUGUUUGCUCCCCCGGCUUUGCUUUGCUUUGCUUUGCUUCAGGGGUAUGAGCCCAGGGAAUGUGAAGAUAACAUUGGCCAAAAAGGUGUGUGGCAUUUUGCCUUUAGCUUCCCUUUUGGAAAAGAGAGAGCGCCGAUCUUUCCUAUUUUGCCUAAUUGGACUCUCUGGAAUGUGCGGACUUUCGCUUCACAUGGACUAUGCAAAGAUAUUUCCUUUUUUCUGUUUCAGAAAACGAGAAUUAAGCAUUCAAGGAAAAAGGGCAUCUCUUGUUUUGGUUUGGAUUAAGGAAUUAGUGUAGCUCUUGCUCAUAAAUUGAGAUUUUGCAGCCUUUAAGGUUUUAUUGCAAUAUUUUCUAUAUUAUCAGCAAAACA